GGUUUCGUGGUGUAGUGGUUAUCACGUCUGCUCCACACGCAGAAGGGCGCGAGUUCGAUCCUCGCCGAAACCU
rfam:Octopus bimaculoides Scaffold60112_contig_1, whole genome shotgun sequence.